rnacentral:lncRNA from 1 species
UGCUGUGAGGAGAGCUGGUGUUCCUUUGGCCUGGGGCCCACCCAGAAUGGACACACUUGGGGGCAGACUGGAGCCCACCUUGCAUCUGGAGCUAAGCUGUCAGACCUGCAGCUUGAAGCAGGGCAGCCUGGCUGAGGCCCACCCAGAUCAGCCAACUUGCAAACACAGAAGAAACCAGUGCUUCUUGUGACAGGGUCUCUCUUUGUUGCCUAGGCUGGAGUGCAGUGGAACGAACUUGGCUUAUUGAAGCAUUGACCACCUGGACCCAAGUGAUUCUCCUACCUUAGCCUCUUGAAUAGCUGUGACAACAGGUGUGCACUACCACACCCAGAUAAAUUUUGUAAUUUUUAUAGAGAGGGCAUUUGACCAUGUUGCCCAGGCUGGUCUCAAACUCCUGAGCUCAAGUGAUACUCCUGCCUCGGCCUCCCAAAGUGCUGGGAUUACAGAUGAAGAAAAUGAGGCACUGAGAGAUUACAUAACUUCCCUUGAGUCAUAUUUGCUUGUAAGUGGUAAGGCUGGAUGUUGAACCCAGGACAAAGGGUCUCACUCUGUCGCCCAGUCUGGAGUGCAAUGGUGUGAUCACGGUCACUGCAACCUCUGCCUCCCGGGUUCAAGCGAUUCUCCUGCCUCAGCCUCCCAAGUAGCUGGGAUUACAGCGGCUUGCAGUAAACUUCUUGGAGGAGAAUUGGCAUUGCAAGGGUGUUACUGGAGACCUCGGCAAGAAAGUGAAUGCAAAGACAGAUGACCCAGGAACCCGUGAUGGAUAAGGCUCUUGACAGCCAGGACGUGGAAUUACAGGGGGUCUCUUUGAGAGACAAAAUAAAAAAAAUAGCCCAGUAAUCUUCCUUCCACCCUUUUCUCCCAGAUCUAAUUACAGAUGUCUUGACAUUCCUUCUGCAUAGAAUUUCCUUAAAAGAUUUGCCAAGAAGAAACAUUUGGAAACUGUGUUUUAGGUAUAAUCCGUCUGGGAGUCACUCUUGCUCGCUUUGUCGUUAGAUGACAAAACGCUUAAUUACAGCGAGCACAAUGUAUACCACAUUUGGAAAACUGGAUUCUUGACCUAAAUAAUGUACCCCAUACUGACAAUGGCCUUUUGGCAAAACUUGUGUCUCUGAUCUCACAUUAAUUACUACACAAAUAUACUUAUUGUGGGCACCGAGUUUAUGGGAUGGAGUCCUCUUGACACAUGUUCACCAUAAAAACACAUUUUUUUCCCUUCCCCUGACCCUAAGGAAAAGAAAAAAAAAAAGAUUAACAUUUUUCAAGAUGCUGUUUUAGUGACAUGAAAACUGUCUGUUGAGUGUUCACUCGGCUUUUGUUCUUUUUCUUU